CUAAUUGUUGAGCUCGAUUUUCGAAAGGCUUUUGACUCAGUCAGCUGGCCCUCCCUUCUCCGAACUCUUCGCACACGCGGCUUCCCUUCUCGCUGGUGUGACUGGAUCAGCUCGCUGCUCGACACUGGCUCCAUGGCAGUCAUGCUGAACGGCAUUCCGGGCAGAUGGAUCCAAUGCAAAAACGGCCACCGUCAAGGGGACCCCCUCUCUCCCUACCUUUUCAUUAUCAUCGCCGACAUUCUGCAACAACUUAUUAUCAAGGCCAACAGGGAUGGACUCCUCCUUUACCCUCUUAGCCCCACCUUACCUUGCCCUGUCCUCCAAUACGCCGACGACACUCUCAUUAUGGUCAAAGCUACACCGGACUCCGACAUCCACCUUAAGAGGAUUCUUGACAACUUUGCUGCUGCCACUGGUCUACAAAUCAACUGUGGCUGCGCGCAAAGGAAUUCACACCGCCAGCGCUUCGCAAGGCGCUCAAAUCCGUGGCACUUUUGGUGCCGUGGAUGA
rnacentral:rRNA from 1 species